UACGUAGGGUGCAAGCGUUGUCCGGAAUUAUUGGGCGUAAAGGGCGCGUAGGCGGCAUAUUAAGUCAGCUGUGAAAUCUCCGAGCUUAACUCGGAACUGUCAGCUGAUACUGAUGUGCUAGAGUGCAGAGAGGGCAAUCAGAAUUCUUGGUGUAGCGGUGAAAUGCGUAGAUAUCAAGAGGAAUACCUGAGGCGAAGGCGGGUUGCUAGGCUGACACUGACGCUGAGGCGCGAAAGCCAGGGGAGCAAACGGG
rnacentral:rRNA from 1 species